ACUAUUUUCUACAUUGUAGAAUAAUAGUGAAGACAUCAAAACUAUGAAAUAACACAUAUGGAAUCAUGUAGUAACAAAAAAAGUAAAACAAAUCUAAAUAUAUUAUAUAUUUGAUAUUCUUCAAAAUAGCCACCCUUUGCCUUGAUGACAGCUUAACACACUCUUGGCAUUCUCUCAAUCAGCUUCACAUAGAAUGCUUUUCCAACACUCUGCAGUCCAACUCAUCCCAAAACAUCUCAAUUGCGUUGAGGUCGGGUGAUUUUCGAGGCCAGGUCAUCUGAUGCAACUCCAUCACUCUCCUUGGCCAAAUAGCCCUUAAAUAGCCUGGAGAUGUGUUGGGUCAUCGUCUUGUUGAAAAACAAAUGAUAUGCCAACUAAGCGCGAACCAGAUGGGAUGGCGUUUUGCUGCAGAAUGCUGUGGAAUCCAUGCUGGUUAAGUGGGCCUUGAAUUCUAAAUAAAUCACAAACAGUGUCACAGGCAAAGCACACCCACACCAUCACACCUCCUCCUCCAUGUUUCACAGUGGGACCCACACAUGCAGAGAUCAUCUGUUCACCUACUCUGAGUCUCACAGACACAAAUAUUGGAACCAAAAAAAUGUCCACUGGUCUAACGUCCAUUGCUUGUGUUUAUUGGUGUCCUUUAGUAGAGGUUUCUUUGCAGCAAUUUGACCACGACGGCCUGAUUCACUCAAUCUCUUCUGAACAGUUGAUGUUGAGAUGCGUCUGUUACUUGAACGAUGUGAAACAUUUAUUUGGGCUGCAAUUUCUGAGGCUGGUAACUCUAAUGAACCUAUCCUCUGCAGCAGAGGUAACUCUGGGUCUUCCUUUCCUGUGGCGGUCCUCAUGAGAGCCAGUUUCAUCAUAGCGCUUGAUGGUUUUUGUAACUGCACUUGAAGAAACUUUAAUUGACUGACCUUCGUAUCUUAAAGUAAUGAUGGACUGUCAUUUCUCUUUGCUUAUUUGAGCUGUUCUUGUCAUAAUAUGGACUUGGUCUUUUACCAAAUAGGGCUAUCUUCUGUAUACCACCCUUAACAUGUCAGAACACAACUAAUUGGCUCCAACACAUUAAGAAGGAAAUAAAUUCCACAAUUGAAUUGAAAUGCAUUCCAGGUGACUACCUCAUGAAGCUGAUUGAAAGAAUGCCAAGAGUGUGCAAAGCUGUCAUCAAGGCAAAGGAUGGCUACUUUAAAGAAUCUCUAUGUUUUGAUUUUGGUACAACAUUAUUCCAUAUGUGUUGUUUCAUAGUUUUGAUGUCUUCACUAUUAUUAUAAAAUGUAGAAAAAAGUAAAAAAUAAAGAAAAACCCUGGAAUGAGUAGGUGUGUCCAAUCUUUGAAUGGUAAUGUGUAGCUAAGGACUAUUGUCGUUUUAGAAUCCGUAUCAUCACAUUUGACAUGCGGACGAAAAUUAGCUAGCUAGCUUGACUGCUAGCUAAGCCAGUCUCCAAUCAAUCCAUAUGAAUUUGUAUUUAUUAAAUUGUUUAAAUGUAAACUUUAUUUACCUAGGCAAGUCAGUUAAGAACAAAUUCUUAUUUACAAUGACGGCCUACCCUAGCCAAACCCUAAAGACGCUGAGCCAAUUGUCCAUCGCCCUAUGGGUAGAGUAGAAGUAGAAGUCCAAUGCCAGUGGCUCAGUCUGAUGCUUUGCCAUAGUCCCUAGCCAGUGGGUCAGUCUGAUGGUUUACUGUAGUAGUCCCUAGCCAGUGGGUCAGUCUGAUGGUUUGCCAUAGUCCCUAGCCAGUGGGUCAGUCUGAUGGUUUAAAGUAGAAGUCCCUAGCCAGUGGGUCAGUCUGAUGGUUUACAGUAGUAGUCCCUAGCCAGUGGGUCAGUCUGAUGGUUUGAAGUAGAAGUCCCUAGCCAGUGGGUCAGUCUGAUGGUUUACCAUAGUAGUCCCUAGCCAGUGGGUCAGUCUUAUGGUUUACUGUAGUAGUCCCUAGCCAGUGGGUCAGUCUGAUGAUUUAAAGUAGAAGUCCCUAGCCAGUGGGUCAGUCUGAUGGUUUAACGUAGAAGUCCCUAGCCAGUGGGUCAGUCUGAUGGUUUGCCAUAGUCCCUAGGCAGUGGGUCAGUCUCUUGGUUUACAGUAGUAGUCCCUAGCCAGUGGGUCAAUCUGAUGGUUUACCAUAGUCCCUAGCCAGUGGGUCAGUCUGAUGGUUUACUGCAGUAGUCCCUAGCCAGUGGGUCAGUCUGAUGGUUUACCAUAGUCCCUAGCCAGUGGGUCAGUCUGAUGGUUUGCCAUAGUCCCUAGCCAGUGGGUCAGUCUGAUGGUUUGCCAAAGUAGACCCAAGCCAGUGGGUCAGUCUGAUGGUUUACUUUAGUAGUUCCUAGCCAGUGGGUCAGUCUCUUGGUUUACAGUAGUAGUCCCUAGCCAGUGGUUCAGUCUCUUGGUUUACUGUAGUAGUCCAUAGCCAGUGGGUCAGUCUCUUGGUUUACUGUAGUAGUCCCUAGCCAGUGGGUCAGUCUGAUGGUUUACUGUAGAAGUCCCUAGCCAGUGGGUCAGUCUGAUGGUUUACAGUAGUAGUCCCUAGCCAGUGGGUCAGUAUGAUGGUUUACAGUAGUAGUCCCUAGCCAGUGGGUCAGUCUGAUGGUUUACAGUAGUAGUCCCUAGCCAGUGGGUCAGUCUCUUGGUUUACAGUAGUAGUCCCUAGCCAGUGGGUCAGUCUGAUGGUUUACAGUAGUAGUCCCUAGCCAGUGGGUCAGUCUGAUGGUUUACCAUAGUCCCUAGCCAGUGGGUCAGUCUCUUGGUUUACUGGAGUAGUCCCUAGCCAGUGGGUCAG
ensembl:lncRNA